CCUAACACUUCAGGAAAGUGAAACGCGGAGAGGGGAAGUGACCCCUUGCGGGUCCGGCGGGAUGCGGAGGCGGGUCUUUGCCACAACCCUGCCUCGAGCAGCCGGGCGGAAGACUCAGAAAGAGGCGGUGGGGACGCGCGGAGCGGGUUUGACGGCAGGAAGGGAGAAGGCCGAGGAGUCUGCGGCCCCAAGGGAUCUGGGGGUUGAGGUUUAGGCAGAGGGUCACCGGGGACCUCUGGGAUUGCCCACUGAAGCCAAGUUCUUUGGUACUCCGGCCCAUCAUCUUCACUGCCCAGGGGAGAAGCUCCAUGGGAUGCCUUUGUGAUGACUGUAUCUUCAGACAGACCCAAGGAAAAUGACGUUUCUUGAAAGAUCACUGGCAACAUCUCUUUAAAAUGACCCAUUUCGAGGGUCCCGCAAAAUACACAACUACACCGAGGUCGGAAGUAGUUUUGCCCGUAUAAAAUAUGGCGGAAAGCUUUCUGGUCUCUAAGGAAACAUUACGUAGUCAAAGCGGUGGAUUACACUGCGCACGCGUAGGGGCACGCGCCACAGGAAGUCGUGAUGACCCAACCACAGCGCGUGAUUUAGAACGCGUGCGCAGUAGGCUCAGCUGGCGGCUGUGUUGUGAAAAUGGUGGAGAAGAAAACUUCGGUUCGCUCCCAGGACCCUGGACAGCGGCGGGUGCUGGACCGGGCGGCCCGGCAACGCCGCAUAAACAGGCAGCUGGAGGCCUUGGAGAAUGACAACUUCCAGGACGACCCCCACGCAGGGCUCCCCCAGCUCGGCAAGCGGCUGCCUCAGUUUGAUGAUGAUGCAGACACUGGAAAGAAAAAGAAGAAAACUCGAGGUGAUCAUUUUAAACUUCGCUUCCGAAAAAACUUUCAGGCCUUGCUGGAGGAGCAGAACCUGAGUGUGGCUGAGGGCCCCAACUACCUGACGGCCUGUGCAGGACCCCCAUCCCGGCCCCAGCGCCCCUUCUGUGCUGUCUGUGGCUUCCCCUCCCCCUACACCUGUGUCAGCUGUGGCGCCCGGUACUGUACUGUGCGCUGCCUGGGCACCCACCAGGAGACCAGGUGCCUGAAGUGGACUGUAUGACCCUAGGCGUCCGCAGAGAGGAAGGCCUUGCAUCACCUGGCCUCGGAGAGGGCAUCACCGAAAGGAAAGGCGCUCCCCCUGGACCAAGAGAGGAGCCCAACGAAGCUCGUGUCCUGUCCUCCAGGGAAGACCAGUCUUGCUCCCAGGGACUGUGGCAGGGCAGUGGGCCGAGCCCUCAGAGCGCUGUUGUAAUAAAAGCCACCUCCCAGAAAUUGUGAGGAUUAAAUGAGACCGUACCAAGCCCAGUGCCUGGCGUCUGGCUGUAAGCUCUGGAGGGCAGAAACUCUCACCUUUGGAGUCCCUCCCACUGCCUGGCUCCUAGUGCGGGCUCAAGAAACAUUGCUGAUGGACUGAUUUGUAACCAAGGGAUCUGGUGAGUAUGGGUGAGAGUGGGGUGAGCUGGGAGAGAGGGCAGGUGUCAAUGCAAAGGGGAAGGUGAGGCAACCCUGCAGUCUGGGCCACGGGCCACCCCACCCCCACCACGGCACAGCGUCCCCCCAUCACUUGCCCCCAAUUACCAGCCAGUAUGUUUAGGGCCCCUGCGGUGGCCGCCAGCUUGGUUUUCCUGGAGGGCUCCAGAUCCCCAAUGUUCGUGCAGCGCAGCCCCACCAUGCCUAGGAAGAGGCCCAGGAAGCCCAGAAAGAUGGCGGUGAUCAUGAGCGCGCGGCAGGCCUGGAUGUACCCUAGGGAGGUGGGACACAGCCAUGGGUCCCGGAGCCGGCCCCUUCCCCUCCAUCUGCUCUCCCGGCUACGACAGGCAGCCCCUUAUACAAUCUGCUCAGGCCUCAGUCCCUAAAAGCCCUCAAGUCCUCUCCCUGUCCUUCAGGCCCCAUGCAGACUAAGGGGUCAGGCCGAGGGGUCACACGCCCCUCCAUCCCAGGAGCUCACCUCAGUGCCAACGAGGCUCAGCGCCGCCUGACCCUCCCGCCUGCGUAGGCGCACUUCGCCUCUACCUCCAUUACAGGGCUUCUCCUUGGCGCCACUGACGCUUUGGCCGGAUAAUGCUUUGUUCUGGGGGCAUUCUCUGCAUUGUAGGACGUUUAGCAGCAUCCUUGGCCUCUGCCCACUAGGCACCAGUAGCAAUCCCCCCAAACAGGACAAUCAAAAUGUUUAGACAUCGUCAAAAAAUCACCCCUGGUUGAGAACCGCCGUGCUCUGCUGGGUAUUACAGACACUGCACCCAAGCACCCCCUCCGUCUCCCCACAUCUACUAGGUCCCAUUUAGUGCCCAGCGCAGUGCCCGACAUCCUGAACUGAGCCUCUUCCUGGAGUGACCGAUAGGGGGCAGCAGUGACCUAUGGGUCACUGGGUAAAGGGCAGUUUCUUAUCUGGAACGUGGGAUACCUGGGCCUAGGACCAAUCCAGGUCAGUCUAGCGCACAUGCUUUCAGUGCCUGUUUCCCCUUUCUCAAACUCCAAGAAGAAGGCUGCUCCCUUUCUGGCCCCCCCUUCCUCCUUCUCUGUCUUUGAUAGUUGCCAAGCACUCCCAAGAACCUUGCACCCCUUUACCGGGUGGGGCAGUGCCACCUGUGUUGAAGGGGAAAGGCUGGGUCCCUGCCAGGAGGAUGUGAAGCGGCCCAGAGUUGGGGAGCAGGGAAGAGCGACAGAGUUCUCUGGGAGCAUUUUCUUAUUCCCAGCCGCUCCUUCCGGAGUUCCCACCUUCUCCCCAUCCAUCCAUCCAGCCAUCCCCACCUGGGGCAGACCAGCUCCGGAUCCUCAGGUAGCUCUCGUAGACAAAGAGAGAUUAUUGAAGGGCCCAUAAGAGCAUGGGCUGGGUGGCUGCGAGGUGAAUAAUUGAUAGGAACCUUCCCAGGACCAGAACCAGCCUGGGAAGGAAGUAUCAGCGGGCUCGUGAUACACACGAGUCUGGAUUCCAGCCCCCCUACCACCUGUGUGGCUCUGGGCAGGACACCUUGCAGUCUUCCAGCUUCUGGAAGAUGAGGUUACUAACACUGCCAACAGCGGGGCUGUUAUCAGCACUGAAAUGGCGCAUGUGAAGCGUGCGGCACAAUGCCUGGAACCUCAGCCUGGGCAGCUGCGCUCUCUGCCCUCCCGCUCAGCACACCCUCGCACCCCUGUCUUUCAUUGUCUUUCGUGCACACUCACGAGAGGUUUCAAGCAGCAGCCCAAGUUGGGGCCCCUCCUUACACCGUGGUGUGGUUGAGGGGUAAGUCAGGGGGUGGCCAGGGCUGCUGAGUGGCUGCCGCCAAUGUUUGUUCUGGCCACCCAGCGUUCUGGGUGUCUGGCCCAGACUGUACUCAACUUUUACAGAGGGCUUUUUUCGGGGGGGGGUGGCGGGCAUCCUGGAUGGGAUGAGAGCAUGAAGCCCCUGUAGCUGCCUCAGGAGAUUCUGGUAAUAGUGGGGGCACGAGAGACCCACCUGGACUCCCUAACGGCUCAGAGCACCUUUGACAUACACGGGGGCGAUUUCGUGGCAUGCUGACCUCGGCUCUUUCCCCUACCACCUGGCCCCUGCAGCAGGGGGCCUGGAAAAGCAUGACGCCUCGUGAGCACCCAGUGAGGGCACGGGAGCUGCACUGCACAGGGCUUCUUGUCAUCCCCUCUUGGCCUGGCGAGGGGCCGACUGAAGGACUCCUGGGGGACAAUGUGGGUGCUACUCAUAGGUGAGCAGGGAGCAGGACGAUGCUUCAGCCACCACGGAGGAACUUUCUGGGCCAAAAGAGCUGUAGGCUCCAGCCCGCCAAGAAGCUCAAAAAAGUACGUUGACCCAAGAACCCCAAGCACAUACACACACACACCCCUGCUUACAGUGGACACUGAGAUGUGCAAGAGGACUCCCUUUAAAACAGUCCUUUAGAACUCACCAUGGAGGUGAGACCAAUGCUCCAGUGGAAGCCUGGCGAAGCUACGGAGACUUUUAAGUAUCUCACCCCCCAAGAAUCCAAGAUGAGGUUUCCUCUUCACCCCACGAGCCCCAGCACUCCCACCCUGAAACUGAAAUGCUGAAUUUGAUUGAGCGAAUAUAGAUGCUCACAUCACAUUAACAUUUUGCGCAUUUUAUCGCAUAUAAUCCUCACGACCACCCGGUGAACCAGUGCCAUUAUGACCGUAAUCUUACAGAUGGGUCAAAUGCAGCUCAUUUUGUCACCUGCCUGGGGCACAGAGCUAGUCAAAGGCAGGUGCUGAAGCCGGCACUCUGGCCCCAGUGCCUGCACUUGUAGCCACAAAGACAGGGUCAAGUCAGAGCAGGGGGCCACGUGUGGUGAGGCCUCCACUGCAGUUCCAGAGGGCUGCCCCCGGCACUCCCGGCUUCAGGAACUCAGGUCUCCCAGCUGGAUUGGGCCUCCCGUAUCUGUAUGGCGCCCAAGGUCAGACCGCAGGCAGCACCCACCCUUGCCGGGGUCUCUCCAACCUCCCGCCUCCCUCUGCUCCCCUCAGCUCUCCCCACCCCGUACCAGAGAGGGCCAGCAUGGACGGAAACUCCCAGCAGUUGUAGACUCCAAGGGAGUCGGUGGCACAGCUGUACCAGAGGUUCUCGAAGAUGGUGCUGGUGGUGAUGACGUUCCCGUGCACGGUGGACACUCGCCAGCUGCUGUGUGUCAGGGUCACCCCUAGCAUCAGCAGCCCCAGGGCUGCGAUGAAGAAGCCGAAGAUCUCCACAGCCACCGACAUGGUGGGACACAGGCCCCGGGGGGAGCCUGGGGCCCCAGAGAAGGGGAGGGGCUGAGCCCCAGGGGAACUUGAAGGGGCUUUGGCUAAGGACGGCGGUUAAGGCAGGCUGGGGAGAGAGAGGGAGGCAGCCUGCAGCCUCUGCCUCUUCCUUGGCCCAGGUCUGUCUCUGGUUGGUCUCUUCCCUCUCUCUGGGUCUCUCCGCUUCCCUGCAGGUCGGUCAGAGGAGUGAGACAAGAGUGCACGGCAGCUGUUGAAGAGGAGAUGGACGGAAUAAACGAAACGGGCCAAAAGUCCACCCCUCCCCCACGUCUCUGGGCUGCCCUGGGCUCCCCGCCCCACGAGGGUGUGGGGAGAGGACUUACCGGGGAGGGACUAACGGAUGCCGCCAAGGAAGGGUUCCCACGGGAGGCACUGGGAGCCGAGGGGAAGCAUCCGCCUCUGACUCAGCUUUAAUCGGGGGCCAGAGAAUGGAGUAAGAGGGACAAGAGACAGAGACGGAGACUGACCACAGGCAGGUCCCCUGCACCUUUCAGUGGGGAAGGGCCAAGGGAGCGGAGCCACCCUCUCUGAAUGUUGGUGAGAACAAUUCAGGAAACUCAAAGAGCUAGGGCUUGAGGCGUUGAGUCUCCAAGGAAGAUGAAGGUCGAAAAGGGGAUGGGGAAUCUGGGAGAAACCCAUGGCUCUGGAAUCCAACCAACCUGGAUUCAAACCAGGUCCAUCAUUUACCAAAGGGAUGUGGGCAUGAAGUUUGAGCCCCUUGAGCUUGUUUCUGAUUCUGUGAACUAGAACUACUACUUCUCACUUCACAAGAAUCGUGACUACAGAUCAAAGCUCCCCGCAAGUAUGAAUCGCUCGAUACUCGACACUUGGUGAAUGCCCUGGGUCUGGGCGCCCAAGGGCCAGGGUGAGGCCAAAGGAGGUUGCUUUCCCCCAAACUUCAACUUCCCGAACUUGAAGUUCCCCCCUUGUCGGGAUGAUCUUUGACUCUCGGCAAGAAGCUUGAUCUUGCUGCUAAGGGGCCUAAAUCACAAGCCCGGGACGUGAUCCUCUGAUAAACUAAAAAGCAAAGAGUUAUCAGAACUGUCACCA